UACGUAGGGGGGCAAGCGUUUGUCCGGAUUUAUUGGGCGUAAAGAGCGUGUAGGCGGCCAUACAGGUCAGCUGUGAAAACUCGAGGCUCAACCUCGAGACGUCGGUUGAAACCGUAUGGCUAGAGUCCGGAAGAGGAGAGUGGAAUUCCCGGUGUAGCGGUGAAAUGCGCAGAUAUCGGGAAGAACACCCGUGGCGAAGGCGGCUCUCUGGGACGGUACUGACGCUGAGACGCGAAAGCGUGGGGGAGCGAACGAGG
rnacentral:rRNA from 1 species